rnacentral:lncRNA from 1 species
UAGCAGAAGACUAAAGCCUACCUUGAGAAGAUGGAGAUGAGGUAUAUGAUGGAUUGGCUUUAGUGCAAGUGAAAGAUUGUUAGAUAUAUACCCUAGAAGCCAAUCUGACUGAUACAUUUGCUCUUUCUAAGAUAUAAUUUUAUACUUAACUUUAUCAUUCUUUAAUAAAAUCGACAGGUUAUUUCUAUUCAUAUUGUGCAUAUAUCCAUGAAUGGUCC